rnacentral:rRNA from 1 species
GGAAUUUUCCGCAAUGGGCGAAAGCCUGACGGAGCAACGCCGCGUGAGGGAUGAAGGCCUCUGGGCUGUAAACCUCUUUUCUCAAGGAAGAAGAUCUGACGGUACUUGAGGAAUAAGCCACGGCUAAUUCCGUGCCAGCAGCCGCGGUAAUACGGGAGUGGCAAGCGUUAUCCGGAAUUAUUGGGCGUAAAGCGUCCGCAGGCGGUCUUUUAAGUCUGCUGUUAAAGCGUGGAGCUUAACUUUGGAUCGGCACGAGAAACUCGAGAGCUUGAGUACGGUAGGGGCAGAAGGAAUUCCCCGUGUAGCGGUGAAAUGCGUAGAGAUGGGGAAGAACACCGAUGGCGAAAGCAUUCUGCUGGGCCGUUACUGACACUGAGAGACGAAAGCUAAGGGAGCGAAUAGGAUUAGAUACCCCUGUAGUC